rnacentral:lncRNA from 1 species
CUCGACGCUCGGUUAUUUAGGGCUCUUUAAUUGGAUCUGGUGUUUAGAGCAAUGAAAAGGGUUCGGGGUUACAAAGGUAUUUGGUGUUUGCUUGGGCAACAGGCCCCCAUUAGAAGAGGUGACCGCAGCAGCAGCAGCAGCAGCAGCAGCAGCAGGAGCGGGAGCAUGAGAAACGGCCAGGGUUAGCGGCAGAUUCGAAACGAAUCGAAAUGGUACGAGUAUAGCCAGACAAACAAAAGGCCAGUGGCGUUCAUUAUCAUUUACCACAAUCCUAGCGACACGACACAACACGACAUGGACAAGGGAAAACUUUCAAAAGAAAAUGGAAACAGCAAGCAGAGGCAGCAGCAGCAGCAGUAAACGGUUAAGGCCGGGCCAGGGCAGGAUAGUCAUGGACUAAGGACCAAGGAGUCUCAGGCUUGGCCAAAGUUUUGGUGUGAAAUUAAAAUUGGAAUUAAAAGCACAAUAAAGGCAGCUUUCCAGCUGGACAUGGACAGG